GACACUGUUCAACGGCCGCGGUAUCCUAACCGUGGGAAGGUAGCGUAAUCACUUGUCCUUUAAUUAAGGACUAGUAUGAACGGCAUCACGAGGGUUAUACUGUCUCCUUUUUCUAAUCAGUGAAACUAAUCUUCCCGUGAAGAAGCGGGGAUACGUUUAUAAGACGAGAAGACCCUAUGGAGCUUUAAACGAAACAACAUUUGCUAUCGAAUGCAUCGAUCUCAGGAAAUUAACCCUCAUUUUAGCUCUAUGAUUGCCAGUUUUAGGUUGGGGUGACCGCGGAGUAAAAAAUAACCUCCACAAUGAAUGGGGACCUCCCCUAAGCAAAAAACCACAACUUUAUGCAUCAAUAAAUUGACAUCAAUUGACCCAAUAUCUUGAUCAACGAAACAAGUUACCCUAGGGAUAACAGCGCAAUCCUCUUCGAGAGCCCGUAUCGACAAGUGGGUUUACGACCUCGAUGUUGGAUCAGGGUACCCCAGUGGUGCAGCCACUACUAAAGGUUCGUUUGUUCAACGAUUAAAACCCU
rnacentral:rRNA from 1 species